GUCCGUGCCUGUGGGCGCGGGCCCUCCGCCGGCCACAUCGCCGCCACCUGCUGCUGCAUCCCCAGUGAGGGCGGAGGGGCGCCUUCGUGCCUCCCCACAUCCGGCCUCCGGGUCCCCCGGGACCGGGCUGAGGCCACGUCUUCCCCCGGCCCCCUCCCCAGCGCCGAGGAGGCAGAGGAGGGAGGAGCCCAGGCCGCAGCCGCCCGCGCUCCUCCCUCCGGAGCUCCCCUUCCUCUCGUCUCGCUGCCGCAGCCCCGCUCGUCGCUCGCGUCAGCGCGGGCUCCCCGGAGCGAGUCGCUAGGUAACGGGGCUGGCUCCGCAGACCCGGGGCUGGGGAAGCCCGCGCGCGGCGUCAGCAGCGGCGCCGGCUUGGGGCGGGCGCGGGGGGCGCACCAACCCUCCUCCCUCGCGGACUGCAGAUCUUGGCUGGCGCUCGGCCCCCACCGUCGCUGCCCGGGUGCCCCUCCCUUGCAAGGACCCGGACGCCGCCAGCCCCCUCCUUCUUCCCCAGCGGUGCGCACUUCUCUGCGCGAGACUGGGUGGGCGCCCCACCGCCGCGAUCGCCGUCGCGGCCGGUCCUCCCUCCGAGCCCCCAAGCGGGGCAUGAGGAGCCUCGGGGCGCCGCCUGGAGACCAUCCGGUGUCGCUCACGGCUCGCCAGAGGCGGCCCGGGACAUGAGCCGCGCGAACCGGGUCCUGCGCCCCGCGGCCAGCCCCAGCCGGCGACAGCCAGCGGGUCAGCGCUGCCCUGGAGAAUGAGGCAGGAGCCGGCCGCAGCCUCUUCUUUCUCCUUCUCUUCGCCUUCCUCCGGCUCCGGCGCCCCGGGCCGGGGCCGGGCCGUGGCUCUGCUGCCUGCCCCGCGCGGCCCCCGCUCGCCUCCGGAUGCGCUGCUCGGUUAGCCUGGGGAGGAAGAUAAAGACCUUUGCAAGCAAGAUGGUAAUCACGAGCGGAAAUGACGAAGACAGAGGAGGCCAAGAGAAAGAGAGCAAAGAGGAGAGUGUCUUGGCGAUGCUGGGCAUCAUCGGGACCAUCCUGAACCUGAUCGUUAUCAUCUUCGUGUACAUAUACACCACUCUGUGAACGGCUCGGAGGCUCCUGGGGCGCCUGGGCGGGGCCAAAAGACAGCAGUCCCGUGCGCCGACCAAUCGGUGACCAAAUAUUGCGCGACUCAGCAGGCUCGACCUCCACACGCUGCUCCAUCCGAUGCACCUUCGAACUUUAUAAAAGAUCGCAAAACUAAACCGAUCCUGCCGCCAGGAGCAGACACUAAAGCACAAUGAAUCCAACGAAACUCGUUCACACACCAAGGAACUCAGCGUCUUUGGCAGGGGGCCCGGAGGAGCGCUCGGAAGACCGGCCUUGGACAACGCCGGUGAGCAGAUGGGCACAGAAAUCCAUCACCCCGGCUCGCUGACAGACAAUCACGUGCUCGAAAGGAGGAGCAGGGCGGGCGGACGCAGCUCCUCGGCAUGUCUCCCGGGACGCGCGUUUCUUCUUCGCCAGACCAGCUGCUGAGUACCAGAGGCCACAGGGACCGCGGGCAGGUGUCCCAUCCAUCCAAAGUGUCUAUUUGAUACAGGGGAGAUGACUUAUUUUUCUUUUUUUUCCAUUGGCUUGACGUGUGUGUCUGUUCAUACCAAGGUUUAUAAAUAUAUAUAUUUUAAUAAAUGUGCUCUAUUUUUUAGCAUGAACCAAAUACUUGGAGAGGCGCCCCCGGAGCCCUCGGGCUUUCCUCUGGUUUUAUCUGCUUCGCCCCCCUGGAGUGUAGAUGUUCCGUUGUGUCGUCUUUCUAGUCCCGUUUCUCUGGCCUGGAACCUCUCACCUUCUCUCUCUCUCCCUCUGUUUGGUCUGGAGGACAUUUCCCCAUAAUACCAGCCCCGGUGUCUCGGUUGGUGCAUGUCGUAAGAGUGUCUGUGGAGCUGCCUCUCAUUGUUCUCUCGGAGACGGGACGUGAUCGUGGACAUGUGGACUGUGGGUGCACUGUGUCCUCCCUGAGAAUCUCGCACGGACAAAGGCUGAGUGACGGGUCGGCAUGAACAGUCGCGGAGGACCGCCGUGGAGGAGGAGCGCGGCCCCACCUGCGGGCCGGCAUACUAACGACAGUCUCAUUCCAUUCUUGUGACCACGUAUAAACCAGACUUUGAUUGCAAUGGCCACGUACCGUGAGAGAUGGACAGGACGAGGGGAAAAGCUCAGCCUCAGGUGCACAGUCCCUUCCUUGGCCAGCCACCUGGGACCCUUUUCAGAGCAGGCGGGGUGUCAGUGACAUGUGGACUUCCCACUGGGAGAGCUCCCUUCGGCUGCGAGGACCCCCCUGGGACGGGUGACUUUUCAAGGGCGUGGGAAGGGACGUAAGGAUCGCCCUAAAGGAUUGCUGCGCUUCUUAAAGCCCCUGGUCUUCUUAAAGACCCACGGGCAGUCGCUUUCUCUUUGGCAGGCACGGUUAAAUGAAUACGAAUGACCCUGUUCUCCUGGCUCCUGCCCGGCGGCAGCGGCGUGGCCUUAAAGAGAGGGUCAGGACUCCUUCUGCCAGCGCCAGACGUGCCCAUGGGCCAAAGCGGCAGCAACCUGCCUAGUCGGAUUCGAGGGCUACCCAGAGGUCUCUGCCCCCAGGCCCAGCCCGACCCGCGUGUGGCACCUGAAACUCCACCAUUAGAGAGUUGCUUCUUCGGCUCCGUUAAGGGACCAGGCUGUUUUGUAAAGCGGACACCCCCGAGCACCUGGCUCUGCCAGCCAUUCAUCGGGUGUCUCCCCCCCCCCAGGAGGAAGGGAGCUGAGGUGUAAUUUAGGGCGUGCUGUGUGCCAGGCACUUUGUAUUCCUUAAGUCAUGGAAUUCCCACAGUGACCCGUGAGAGGGAGUCACGGCCCAGAUUGUAGGAGAAGAAGGGGGUGUCGGAGAGGUUAGGGAACUUCUCGGGGAUCACGUGGCUCCUCCUAGCGAGUCAGGACUCCAACCUCAGUCGGCCUGAUUCCUCGGCCCGUGGGGGCCUCCUGGAGGCUGCCGGGAAGAGAGGGCGUGGGGACCUGGGGCCAUCACAGGAAAGGGCCCGGCGGGGGGAGGGGGGGGCAGGACGCACGCCCGAUGGCUCUGCUGAAGGCCAGCUCUGCACGCCCCUCUUCCCCUCCCCCACCCAUAAAAACAAAGAACCCCUGGGAACCCCUUAGACACUGGCAGAACAGCCUAUGUAUGAGUAAGGACGAGGGACGAGAGGAGGCUGGUCGGAAAUAAAACGGAGUGUCGGGGGAGGGGCUAUCUAACAGGUCCUGUGUGAUCCUGGAACGGCUGUGUGAGAAUUCCAAACAGUGAACCGCGUGAACAAUAAAGGUGCAAUGGAAAA